AUAUGUCGGCUUGAGUAACGAUAAACGGAGUGAGAAUCUCCGUCGCCGAAAACCUAAGGUUUCCUGGGGAAGGUAAAUCCGCCCAGGGUUAGGCGGGUCCUAAGGCGAGGCCGAAAGGCGUAGUCGAUGGACAGCAGGUUAAUAUUCCUGCCCCGUUGUGUGCGGUUGAACCGGCGUGACGGAUCUUGAAGUUCUGUGGGACAGUGAAGCGUCCAGGCCCUUGAGGCCGUUGCAGGGUGGAUAGGUUCCAAGAAAAGCCGUCCGGUGACAAACACAAUGCCCGUACUAAAACUGACACAGGUAGGCGUGGCGAAUAGCCUCAGGCGCUCGAGAAAACGGUUGUGAAGGAACUAGGCAAAUUGACCCCGUACGUUCGCAAUAAGGGGGCCCUACUGGCAACAGAGGGCGCAGAGAAAAGGCUCUGGCGACUGUUUAUCAAAAACACAGCACUGUGCGAACACGCAAGUGGACGUAUACAGUGUGACGCCUGCUCGGUGCCGGAAUGUUAAGGAAGUGGGUUAGCUUCGGCGAAGCUCAUGACUGAAGCACCGGUAAACAGCGGCCGUAACUAUGACGGUCCUAAGGUAGCGAAGUUCCUUGUCGGGUAAGUUCCGACGUGCAUGAAUGGCGUAACGACUGGAGCACUGUCUCCACAACGGACUCGGUGAAAUAGUAGUGGCGGUGAAGAUGCCGCCUACCCGCAGCAAGACGGAAAGACCCCGUGGACCUUUACUGCAGGCAUAUAUUGGUCAUGGAUUGGUACUGUGUAGGAUAGGUGGGAGACGUUGAAGUCAUCAUUCCGGUGAUGAUGGAGUCAUCCUUGAAAUACCACCCUGUGUUGAUUUGUGGCCUAACCCCGAUACCCAUGAAGCUGGGCGGGGGACCAUGUAUGCUGGGCGGUUUGACUGGGGCGGUCUCCUCCUAAAAGGUAACGGAGGAGCGCAAAGGUUAGCUCAGCGCGGUUGGAAACCGCGUGUCGAGUGUAAGAGCACAAGCUAGCUUUACUGCAAGACAUACAGGUCGAGCAGUUACGAAAGUAGGCUCUAGUGAUCCUGCGAUCCCGUGUGGAAGGGUCGUAGCUCAUCGGAUAAAAGGUACCCCGGGGAUAACAGGCUUAUCGCUCCCGAGCGUCCAUAGCGGCGGAGCGGUUUGGCACCUCGAUGUCGGCUCAUCACAUCCUGGGGGUGGAGAAGCUCCCAAGGGUUUGGCUGUUCGCCAAUGAAAGUGGUACGUGAGCUGGGUUCAGACCGUCGUGAGACAGGUCGGUCCCUAUCUGCCGUGGGCGUUCGAAACUUGAGGAGAUUCAUCUUUAGUACGAGAGGAUUUGGAUGGACGAACCUCUGGUGUUCCAGUUGUCGCGCUAGCGGCACGGCUGGAUAGCUAAGUUCGGAAAGGAUAAACGCUGAAAGCAUCUAAGCGUGAAGCCCGCUCCGAGAUAAGGUUUCGUUGGGCUAUGCCCGAAAGUCCCCUGGAAGACGACCAGGUUGAUAGGCUGGAUGUGUAAGCACAGUAAUGUGUUCAGCUAACCAGUACUAAUGGACGAAUGCUUGACCAU
rnacentral:rRNA from 1 species